rnacentral:sRNA from 1 species
ACUAAAGUGCCCUACUCGAUCACAGGGUUGAGUAGAACCAUGAAGGCAACAUAUUCAAGUACUAAAAUGCAAUAACAGAUAAAUGAACAAGUUAAAGGAAAAUACACAAAUA